GACGAACGCUGGCGGCGUGCCUAAUACAUGCAAGUAGAACGCUGAAGGAGGAGCUUGCUUCUCUGGAUGAGUUGCGAACGGGUGAGUAACGCGUAGGUAACCUGCCUGGUAGCGGGGGAUAACUAUUGGAAACGAUAGCUAAUACCGCAUAAUAGUAGCUGUCGCAUGACAUUUGCUUAAAAGGUGCAAUUGCAUCACUACCAGAUGGACCUGCGUUGUAUUAGCUAGUUGGUGAGGUAACGGCUCACCAAGGCAACGAUACAUAGCCGACCUGGGAGGGUGAGCGGCCACACUGGGACUGGGACACGGCCCAGACGCCUACGGGAGGCAGCAGUAGGGAAUCUGCGGCAAUGGACGGAAGUCUGACCGAGCAACGCCGCGUGAGUGAAGAAGGUUUUCGGAUCGUAAAGCGCUGUUGUAAGAGAAGAACGAGGGUGAGGGUGGAAAGUUCACACUGUGACGGUAUCUUACCAGAAAGGGACGGCUAACUACGUG
rnacentral:rRNA from 1 species